UAUGCAGGCUCGUCCUAGUGUGGUAAUUUACAUUUCUGUCCUUCAUUGCUUCUCUGAAACCGUAGGUUCUUUCAUCUUGUUUGUGUUUUAGUGAUUCUGCGAUAGAUCUGUUAAUGCUUCUAUUUAUGUUUAUUUCUAGUUUUUGUUCUGCUGCGAAUGCGAAUAUUGGGAUUUGUUUGUUGUAGUCAUUAGUUGAGGCUCUAUUGACGAUCGAUUGGGUCUGGAAAAUGGGAAAUUUGUGAUCAUUUUUUCUUUGCAUGAGACUGGAUGACUUCAGCUAAUAGUCUAUAAGCAUAGUUUUUCCUACAAGGAAUUUUUUUUUAGUUUGUCUAGUUAGUAUAAGAUGUUUAUGCACUGCAUUUGUAAUUGACAA
rnacentral:misc_RNA from 1 species